UGGGGAAUAUUGCACAAUGGGCGCAAGCCUGAUGCAGCCAUGCCGCGUGUGUGAAGAAGGCCUUCGGGUUGUAAAGCACUUUCAGCGAGGAGGAAGGCAGUCGUGUUAAUAGCACGAUUGAUUGACGUUACUCGCAGAAGAAGCAACGGCUAACUCCGUGCCAGCAGCCGCGGUAAUACGGAGGGUGCAAGCGUUAAUCGGAAUUACUGGGCGUAAAGCGCACGCAGGCGGUUUGUUAAGUCAGAUGUGAAAUCCCCGCGCUUAACGUGGGAACUGCAUUUGAAACUGGCAAGCUAGCGUCUUGUAGAGGGGGGUAGAAUUCCAGGUGUAGCGGUGAAAUGCGUAGAGAUCUGUAGGAAUACCGGUGGCGAAGGCGGCCCCCUGGAGAAAGACUGACGCUCAGGUGCGAAAGCGUGGGGAGCAACCA
rnacentral:rRNA from 1 species